UGGGGGAUAUUGCACAAUGGGCGAAAGCCUGAUGCAGCGACGCCGCGUGGGGGAUGAAGGCCUUCGGGUUGUAAACUUCUUUUGCUCUGAACAAGGCAUGCUAAUGGGUGUGUUGAGUGUAGGGGUUGAUUAGCGCCGGCUAACUACGUGCCAGCAGCCGCGGUAAUACGUAGGGCGCGAGCGUUGUCCGGAAUUAUUGGGCGUAAAGGGCUUGUAGGUGGCUGGUUGCGUCUGUCGUGAAAGCUCAUGGCUUAACUGUGGGUUUGCGGUGGGUACGGGCUGGCUUGAGUGCAGUAGGAGAGGCUGGAAUUCCUGGUGUAGCGGUGGAAUGCGCAGAUAUCAGGAGGAAUACCGGUGGCGAAGGCGGGUCUCUGGGCUGUUACUGACACUGAGGAGCGAAAGCAUGGGGAGCGAACAGG
rnacentral:rRNA from 1 species